rnacentral:tRNA from 1 species
UUUUGAAAUUGGUGAAAUUGGUAAACACGUUUGAUUUAGGAUCAGGUGCUUUUUAUUAGCUUAAACGUUCAAAUCGUUUAUUUCA